AUGGCUUCAACACAUAUUCCUUUGUCUCUCUUUUUAACUCUCCUCCUUCUCUUCAUCAGCUCCUCCACAGCCCAGCCCGUUAAACGCCGUGCUCUUCUUUCAGUAACCAAAGACGCGGCCACUAAGCAAUACGUGACACUCAUUAACCAAAGAACUCCUCUCGUCCCCGUUAAACUAACGGUAGACCUUGGUGGACGUUUCCUAUGGGUGGAUUGUCAAAAUGGCUAUGUUAGUUCAACCCUAACACCUCUCCUUUGUGACACUAUGUUUUGUAGACUUUCACAUUCUGGAGCAUGUGAUGGUAAUUGUAAAGGGCUCAUCACCCGGACAUCCUAAUAAAGAUUGUACUUGCUCACAUCUUUCAUACAAUCCUGUUUCUCGUACCAGCACAGGUACCGGGCUUAAUGAGGAUGUUAUUACCAUCCAGGAUACGGACGGGCUCAAGCCCGGCCCAUAUCUAAAGCCCGGUAAGAUUGUGUUUGGUUGCGCGGACACUUCAUUACUUAAAGGUUUAGCUAAUGGGGUUAAGGGAAUAGCGGGAUUUGGGAAUAGCUAUGUAGCCAUUCCAAAUCAAUUAAGUUAUCGUUUCUCUAGACCUAGAAAAAUCGGACUUUGUUUAAGCUCUUCGACAAAUUCUCCUGGAGUUAUAUUUAUUGGUGAAGGUCCAUAUGUAUUACUUCCUAACAUUGAUGUGUCUAAAAACCUCCUUUACACACCUCUUCUAACAAACCCGAUUAGUACUGCUGGAUCAUCAUUUGGGGGUGAGCCAUCGACGGAUUAUUUUAUUGGGGUAAAAUCUAUUAAAGUUAACGGUGAUUUGGUCCCUAUAAAUAACUUAUUAUUAGAAAUAAACGAAGAAAAUGGAGAAGGGGGUACAAAGAUUAGUACAAUUGAUCCAUAUACUAAGUUGGGGAGUUCAAUUUACAAGGCAUUAGUUAAGGCAUUUGUACACUCACUAACUAUACCUAGAGUUAAAAAAGUUGCACCAUUUGAGAUGUGUUACAAAAGUAGUAGUUUACCUAGUACUAGAGUUGGCCCUGGUGUUCCAAAUAUUGAAUUUGUUUUACAAGGUAAAAAUGGCGAGACGCCUUCAUUUAUUAUAUCUGGAGCUAACUCAAUGGUGGCCGUCACAGAUGAAGUGCUUUGCUUAGGAUUUGUAAAUGGUGGAGAAAAUCCAACUACAUCGAUAGUGAUAGGAGGACAUCAAAUUGAAGAUAAUUUGGUACAAAUUGACAUUGAUAACAAGAGGGUUGGUUUCAGUAAUUCACUUUUGUACCAGCAAACUACGUGUGCCAAUUUUAAUUUUGGGUCCACUCAAGGACGGGAGAUAGUGUAAAACGUUGUGUUAUUAAUUUGUUGUGUGGUGUGUUUGGACAUUUUUUGUCCAAGUCAA